UGGUAUCGUUUUGUUCAGAACAAGUUGCAGAUUGAUAUUUAGUAGUUUUUUGUAGUUUUCAAGGCUAUUUUGGGGAGAAAUCGCACUUUGUCUCCAUUUUUUUGUUUAUUUCCGGCUAAACCGUAAACUUCUUCGGAGUGCUGCGCCCGCAAUUCUCCAUGUAUGAAGGAAAGGAUGGCGCCGAUGAAUAGCUGCAGGCUAAACCGUAAAAUUCUUCGGAGUGCUGCGCCCGCAAUCCUCCGCGUAUGAAGGAAAGGAUGGCGCCGAUGAAUAGCUGCAUGUGUGCACUUUCUAGGAAUAUAUGGUUUGUGGGGGGUAUUUCACAGGUAAGGGGGUGUUUAGGCUGGGAAACUGUAAGGUGUGCACUUAGAGCGCAGCCCCAAAUUUUCUAGUUGAAAUUGCCUUUGAGUAUUGGCCCUGUUUUGGGGUGUUUGGAGGCCGCGUCUCUAGGUGCACCCCUGCAUGUGUGGUAUCGUUUAGUUCGGGACAAUUUUUUCUUUCUUAUCUGGCUUCAUUGAAAAUUUUUAUUGGAGAUUUUUUUCUCAAAUUGACUUUUUACUUUGUGACUGUGAUAGUGUUUCAGAAAAAAAUAAAAAACUUGAAAAAUAUUGUUGAGUUUUAUGGUGGUUUGUGUGAUGGCGACUACAUUUACAGCAAAAACUACACAACAACUAAAAACCUAAAAGUAUGCGGUUUCUAAAAAUACCUAAUUUAUGGGGGGUUUUCACUUCUUUCGUUAGAUAUACCAUGUUAACCGGGAGAUACACUUAUCUAUUUUGUUUUGAGGUGAAAUUGUACAAAAUGCUGUUUCAUUAUUGGGGUGUCCUGUGGACAAGAAAAGUGGGAUACCAAUAUGUAUUUCGUAUCGUUGGAUUCAGCAGAAUCAGGGUUUUUACAAACAGUAAUUUUUAUCGGCAUAUGUAAGAUAUUUUGGGAAAAAAGACACAAAAUAUAAACCCUUUUUUCUUUAUUUCACUUUUUUUUUACAUAUUUCACUCAAAAUUUUUGUUACAUCUCCAGAAUAAGUAAAAAUUUUUUUUACAGUGUUCAAGCCCAAAUCGUUCUGAAAAAAACAAUAUAUAAUUUGCCAUAUUUCGUGUAGGUUUUCUUGUCAAAAAACCUAACUAAAUGCAAUGAGUUCAAAAUGUCUGAAAACUGCUUGGCAGUAGAUGUUCACUUUUGGAACAAAUCGGCUGGCAGUGAAAGGGUUAAAA